GUCCAUCAGAGGUGUCACCCACCCCGGGUACCCGCCUCAGCCCACCAGGACGUCCAUCAGAGGUGUCCCUCACCCCGGGUACCCGCCUCAGCCCACCAGGACGUCCAUCAGAGAAUCAGAGAUGUCCCUCACCCCGGGUACCUGCCUCAGCCCACAAGGACGUCCAUCAGAGGUGUCACUCACCCCAGGACCCACCUCAGCCCACCAGGACACUGCUUCCUUGGUCACAAGGUAAGACACUCCCGGGCCAGGCGAUGUGCCCGAG